GUGGGGAAUAUUGGGCAAUGGGGGAAACCCUGACCCAGCGACGCCGCGUGAGGGAAGAAGGCCUUAGGGUCGUAAACCUCUGUUGUGUGGGAAGAAGAGUGUGACGGUACCACACGAGGAAGUCCCGGCUAACUACGUGCCAGCAGCCGCGGUAAUACGUAGGGGACGAGCGUUGUCCGGAUUUACUGGGCGUAAAGGGCGCGUAGGCGGUCAUUUAAGUCAGCUGUGAAAUGGUUUGGCUUAACCGGAUCAUGCGGUUGAAACUGGAUGACUGGAGUGCUGGAGAGGCAAGUGGAAUUCCCAGUGUAGCGGUGAAAUGCGUAGAUAUUGGGAAGAACACCGGUGGCGAAGGCGACUUGCUGGCCAGCAACUGACGCUGAGGCGCGAAAGCCAGGGGAGCAAACGGGAUUAGAUACCCGGGUAGUCC
rnacentral:rRNA from 1 species